UCCGGUGAUUCCCGACGGGCAUUGCAGGGGGAGAGCGGCGAUUCCCGGCGUGCACAGCCGGAGAGAGGGGCGAUUCAGGUGGUUCUGGCAGACAACGGAGGCGGAGGCCCAGUGACGAGCUUCCUGAGACAGCGCCAUGGACGCAUCCGCGAGUGGGCGACACGAUGGUCUCCUCCCCGACGGCGUCCUCUCGUCGGCGAAGAGGGACUCGCCCUCCACGGGAUCUCGCCGCAGUGUGAGGAGUCGCUGGUGGAGGUCCUGCUCGCGGAGGGGAGCGACGACGAGUCCCCAUGAAUUUGCAGAGGGAGGGGGCGAUGCCGUCUUCAGAUGAGGCGGGGCGCGCUUAUGGCGCCGCGCACGAGCUGGAGGCCCUCCUUAAUUUGCGCAUGCUCGCUUGCUCUUCCACGCCGACGAGGAGGAGGCCCUCUUCCUCUUCCGAGAUGACGACGAUGAGGCGCAAGGCCGAGGCGACUGUGGCACCACUGGUCGGUGACGACGGGGCCGUGCUCCGCCUGCUCCGUGCUCACGCAGACAAUAGACGCCAUGGAGCUGAAUUCAAGGUCCCAUAUCCUAUCAAUGUUUUUGGUUCCUACUCUAAUGCAUAUGUUGCGUUGUGCCUGUGUUUCAUUUCAGACGCCAGCAUUAUAUAGGCACAUUGGUAGAGAUGUCAUGGCAGUAGUUAUUUGAUCUGGUUUUAUAAUUGAUAGGGAUAAUCUAUGGCACUUCCAUAUAUGCAGUGAAUGGCUAGUUGGCAUGCGUACCACUAUAAUUCUUGCCAUUUCGUUUGCUCAGGAAGAACAAUUUUCUGCUAUGGCAAACACAUACAAUUUUUAACAUCACUGAAUAGAAGAUAUAUUUACUUCAAUCAUCUUUUCAUGGUAGAUAUGUAAUGGCGGUUUCAACCCCACAGUUACCUGCCCCGACGAGGAGCGCCGUCCCUAUGAGGCUGUCGCCUGGUUAAAGUGUGACGGCCUCGACCGCCUCGCGAUGGCCCCCCUGCGUUGGAUUCUGAUUUCCUUGUCAGUGUGACGAUGCUUGCGAUUUGCAAGGGCAUCGGAGCUCUGCGGGUUCCUCGACAAAAGCAAAUCAGGUGACCGUUGUUUCUUUGUUCUGGGAAAAUGUAGCUCAAUUCACAUAUGUGGGAUGAUCGGUUCAGUUAGUUGUACAGUCUAUUGUUUGAUGAGCUCGAUGCACUUUGUGUUGUAAGGAUUUUAUUUGAGAUAGUGCAGUCAUAUUAGCUUCUGCACCUGGAGUGCCCAUGCUGCAUUGAGUGGGACAAUUCCAUUUUUUCUGGAGUUUUGUUCUUGAUUGGAUUGUGAAAUAAAUCACUAAUUGUGGUUCUGCGAUCGACUUCUUAAAGCCAUCAGCGCUAUUGAUCAUAAACAAGCACUCUAGCACCAGGUGACUUACUAGUUUUGCUUGACCUGGUCGAAUAAAUAAUUUUGCCAUGAUAAAUAAAUGACAUUUGC
rnacentral:lncRNA from 1 species